rnacentral:rRNA from 1 species
UACGUAGGGUGCGAGCGUUAAUCGGAAUUACUGGGCGUAAAGCGUGCGCAGGCGGUUUUGUAAGCCAGAUGUGAAAUCCCCGGGCUUAACCUGGGAAUGGCAUUUGGGACUGCAAGGCUGGAGUGUGGCAGAGGAGACUGGAAUUCCUGGUGUAGCAGUGAAAUGCGUUGAUAUCAUCAGGAACACCGGUGGCGAAGGCGGCUUUCUGGGUCUUACCUGACGCUGAGGAACGAAAGCCAGGGGAGCGAACGGG